rnacentral:ncRNA from 1 species
AGAAUUGAUUGGUAAUUGAGUUCAGUACGAGAGGAACCGCUCAUUCAGAUAAUUGGUUUUUGCGGCUGUCUGACAAGGCAGUGCCGCGAAGCUACCAUCUGCUGGAUAAUGGCUGAACGCCUCUAAGUCAGAAUCCAUGCCAGAAAGCGAUUAUUUUCUCCCACACAUCGUAGUCGGAUACGAAUAGGCCUUAUCGGCAAAUAUCUGGGGCAUGCGAAUAGUAGUACGGGCUUGGAUCUGGCGAACUUCGCUGCGCAGAGGAACAUUGCGACGGAACUUGGAAGUCACGCUGGUUAUUCUUGAGCCUUUGAAAAGAUCU